UUACAGAGGAAUAGCCUUUAGAAAUGAAGAUUAAUGCCUCAUGGUAUUGUAGACUGGCAUCAGUUUAUAAUUAAAGAUUUAUCGGUAAAAGAUGGCUAUGCGUCCUAUUAGUUAGUUGGUAAGGUAACGGCUUACCAAGACAGCGAUAGGUAGGGGUCCUGAGAGGGAGAUCCCCCACACUGGUACUGAGACACGGACCAGACUCCUACGGGAGGCAGCAGUGAGGAAUAUUGGACAAUGGAGGAGACUCUGAUCCAGCCAUGCCGCGUGUAGGAAGAAUGCCCUAUGGGUUGUAAACUACUUUUAUACAGGAAGAAACACUGGUAUGUAUACCAGCUUGACGGU
rnacentral:rRNA from 1 species